rnacentral:rRNA from 1 species
UACGUAGGGUGCAAGCGUUAAUCGGAAUUACUGGGCGUAAAGCGUGCGCAGGCGGCUAUGCAAGACAGAUGUGAAAUCCCCCGGGCUCAACCUGGGAACUGCAUUUGUGACUGCAUGGCUAGAGUGCGGCAGAGGGGGAUGGAAUUCCGCGUGUAGCAGUGAAAUGCGUGAGAUAUGCGGAGGAACACCGAUGGCGAAGGCAAUCCCCUGGGCCUGCACUGACGCUCAUGCACGAAAGCGUGGGGAGCAAACAGG